UUGAUAUUAAUAUUAUUGCUAAUAGACAGUUACAACAUUAGUGGUAACAUUGUCAACAAUUAACCAUUGUUAUAUUGAUCUUUAACAAUUUGUAAUGUUUUAAGUUUAAAAAUGAACUCUCUUAUUCAGUUUGUUUAAAUAAUUACAAUAGAAGAAUCUUAUAAAUUCCUAGACACCUAAUUAGCAAACUUGUUGUAAUGCUGGAGCAUAAACGUAUGCCAUUGUAUACAAA